CCUACGGGUGGCAGCAGUAGGGAAUAUUGCACAAUGAGGGAAACCCUGAUGCAGCAACGCCGCGUGAGUGAUGACGGCCUUCGGGUUGUAAAGCUCUGUCUUCAGGGACGAUCAUGACGGUACCUGAGUAGGUAGCCACUGCUAACUACGUGCCAGCAGCCGCCGUAAUACCUUGGGCGCGAAGGUUCUCCGGAUUUGCUGGGCGUAAAGGUAGCGGAGGCUGUUUUUUAAAUGAGGUGGGAAAUCCGCGGGGUCAAAGUGAGUGUUGCAUUUGAAACUGGAAGUCUAGAGUGAGGGAGAGGAGAAUGGAAUUCCUAGUGAAGCGGUGAAAUGCGUAGAGAUAAGGAAGAACACCAGAGGCGAAGGCGAUUCACUGGGCUGUAACUGACGCUGAGGGUCGAAAGCGUGGGGAGCAAACAGGAUUAGAUACCCGAGUAGUC
rnacentral:rRNA from 1 species